UACGAAGGGGGCUAGCGUUGUUCGGAAUCACUGGGCGUAAAGCGGGUGUAGGUGGCUCUAUAAGUCAGGAGUGAAAUCCCCGAGCUUAACUUGGGAAGUGCUUUUGAUACUGCAGAGCUUGAAUGUGGGAGAGGAUAAUAGAAUUCCAGGUGUAGUGGUGAAAUACGUAGAUAUCUGGAGGAAUACCGGUGGCGAAGGCGGUUAUCUGGCCCAACAUUGACACUGAGACCCGAAAGCGUGGGGAGCGAACAGG
rnacentral:rRNA from 1 species